ensembl:ncRNA Y67D11A.3 ncRNA
AAAAAAGAACGCUGCUGCCCCACCAACGGGAAUGAAUUUCCGGAGCACAUUUACAUUUUUUUUCAAGACAUGCUAUGGGAAAUGCAAUUAUGUAGG